UCAACUGGGCAUAAAACAAAGCAUUAGUGGGGCUCUCGAAAUGGCAAUCUCAAAGAAGAACACAAGCGCCCUGAUUUUGAUGGCCCUCAUAGUCAUGGCCACUGUCCUCUCCUCGUGCAACGCAAACAAUGAGAUAGAUGCUCUCCCCCUACCCGAUAAAUGCUACAACACGGAACUCCCUAACUGCACAAAGGAGGCGUGCAAGAAACUUUGCAACAGCCCAGGGGGGUAUUGCAGGCUCGCAUCCGACUGUUGUUGCCCUGUUUCCUAAAUGGGGCUGAAAUGAUACAAAGAUGCCAUGAAUAAUUCAAUGCAUGUAUGGAUUAUAUAUGUUAGUUCUAGCAUAUCGAUAUAAAUCCUUUUUAUCAUCUUCAGAAUUUACAAAUGAAAAAAGCUUGUUGUUUCUUUAGUUCUACAA